CGCACCUUGCGCUCCUUGGUAUUCCGAGGAGCAUGCCUGUUUGAGUGUCAUGUUAAUUCUCAAACCUUGUGUUUGGUGUUGGAGGCUCUGCUUGUUAAACAAAGCUCCUCUGAAAUGCAUUGGCUAACUUUGAGUUGGAUUAAACAGUGUUGUAAUCUACUGCGCUGUCGACUAGCUUCAAGUGGCUGAGUUAACAUUUACUUUUGUAAUCUGGCCUCAAAUCAGGUAGGACUACCCGCUGAACUUAA
rnacentral:misc_RNA from 1 species